rnacentral:rRNA from 1 species
UACAGAGGUCCCAAGCGUUGUUCGGAUUCACUGGGCGUAAAGGGUGCGUAGGUGGCCAGGUAAGUCUGAUGUGAAAUCUCGGAGCUCAACUCCGAAACUGCAUUGGAUACUAUCUGGCUGGAGGGUCGGAGGGGGGACUGGAAUUCUCGGUGUAGCAGUGAAAUGCGUAGAUAUCGAGAGGAACACCAGUGGCGAAGGCGGGUCUCUGGGCCGUUACUGACGCUGAGGAGCGAAAGCGUGGGGAGCGAACAGG